UUCAAGGGGAUACUAUCUAGUGGAGUUGAUGUUGUUAUUAUCUCCACUAUCAUUUCAUCCAACAAAGAAUGGCCUGGGAGUUCAGAAACGUGCUUCAGAAAAAGAGGCGAGGUGGCGCGUGGCAGAUAAGGCAACGCGCUGGCGGAGAAAGCAAGGAACAAAGGCAAUUGGGUUGUUCGGUUAGAGGAGAUGAUGGCGGAUCGUUGGAUGUGCAUCCAAUGGCGAGGGAUGUUUGAUUGAAAAACUCCACUUUUCAGUCACUAAGAACAUUCUAUACGAGAUGUUCUUAUACAUAGAUAUCUCUAUGAUGUUAUUGUGGAGAUGUUACUUUUGUUAUAUUCAUGUUAGACAAGAAAUCAAGAGUCAUGAUAUUGCACUAAUGUUGGAUCUUAGGCAUCGUAGAGCAUUAUUGCCCUAUAAAUUAAGUAUUAUCUUUACCAUCAUGUUUUGUUUUCUUUGUAUGGGAAGUAAAAUAAUAUUGUGUGCGAGAUUUAUGAACCAUUUUAAUGUGGCGGUGCUAGAUUUUGGGUCCA